ACCUUAAACAUCUGAUAUUUUUAUUAUCUAGAGCUCUGUAAAAAAAAUGUGAAAAUUAAAAUAAUAUGAAAACAAAAUUGUAAACAGAGUUCUAGAUAAUAAACGUUGAGGGUGGUAUAAAAAGUGGGCAUAUUUAAAAUUUCUUUUAAUUCAAUAAAUUUAUGAAUACAAUUCAGUUUUUGGGGAAUUUUUUGUGCUGAAUAGGUUUUUUCUUUCAAUAGUAUAUUAACUUGUUAUUUUGUCAAGCUGUAUAUUUUUUUUAUGUCAAAAAUGACUUAAAAAGUUGGAAUAUUAAAUUGGAAGUGCAAUUCUUUUAAUUUUAGUAAUUUGGAGACAACAUUUGUCUUCUCCAAAUAUUACACACUACCAUUGUCUAAAAAUUUUACUAGAAUUUUAUUUUGAAUGACUUUGUAUAAACCUAUAACCUUAAACAUUUGAUAUUUUACUAUCUAGAGCUCUGUAAAAAUAAAAUAAAAUAAAAAUAUGUGUAAAACAAUAAAGUAACUAAAUAAUAACAUGAAAACAAAAUUGUAAACAGAGUUCUAGAUAAUAACAUUGAGGGUGGUGUAAAAAGUUGGCAUAUUUUAAAUAUGUUUAUUAUUAUUUAUAGUGCAUUGUAUAAUUUGUAAAAUAUUUAUUGUGAAGUCUUGGAAAACUGAAACUUUAGAAAUGUGUUUAUUAAAGAUGUCUAUAUUCAAUCUUCAAUUAUGGUCAUGGCAAUGGAGGAUAAUAGAAUAUAUUGCUCUGUGAAGAAACAGACUUUUUAUAUCAAGAAAGAUCCAACAACAGUUGUCAAUGAUAUCUAAAGAGACAAAAGUCUGAGAAAUACUUAAAGCUCAAAAUGAAGUAUCCAGGAGAUUUCCAGCUCUUUAUUACAUACUCUGCUCACUGAUGUUCCUUAGUUGCAAUGAAGUAUCCAGAAGAUUUCCAGCUCUUCUUUACAUAUUCUGAUGUUUUCUCAAGAAAAACACAAGAUUUCAAUGUUCAACCUGAAAGUAGAAAUUCUUAAAAUUUAUGCUGGACAUCACAAUACUGGAUAUCUACAGAUAUAAGACUUGUGAAGAAUAUUCUGAUAAAUUAAUGAUGAAAGACAAAUUGUGCUACAAGCAUCAAACCAGCAAAAUAAAUUGAUGGAAGUAAAACAUAAGAGCAGGAUCUUACCUCAUACAAGUGAGAAGGAACGAUUGAACUGAUGAACUAAAAAACAUCUGAAUGGUGUACACAAGAAAACCAGACCACAUAGAAUACGGAAAAAGGAAGAUAGACUAAAGGGUAGAUGAAAUAAGAAAAAAAACUGAAAUUAACCAACAUACCAGCUGACUUACCACCUAGAGAUUAGAGCUGACUCAACUGAUGAACAUAUUCAACUGAUAGACAUAGUCAGCUGAUAGACAUAGUCAACUGAUAGACAUAGUCAACUGAUAGACAUAGAACACAGAACUUCAAACAUAUUAACAGCAUAGGAAAACAAGGAAUAUGUCAGAGACUAAUAUUCUUGUCAAUUAAAAUAUAUGACUGAAAUUUAAUAAUUGUAUAUGGUCGGCGGGAGAGAGAGAAAUAUGUAGAAUGGUCAAGAGGGGAAGAGGGAGAGGGAGAACACUUAUGUUGAUGAUAGAGGAGAGAAAUAUUGCAACUGGUUAAUUUGUCUUCAACCAAACACAUGGCUUGUGAUGAUGUAUCUAACUUUAGACAUCCUAUAUUUUUAUUAUCUACAGUUCUGUUAAAAAAAAAUAAAAAAUAUAAUAUGAAAACAAAAUUUAAACAGAAUUCUAAAUAAUAAUCAUUGAGGGUGGUGUAAAAAGUGGCCAUAUUUUAAAUUGUCUUUUUUUCACCAAUAUAUUUAUGAAAUUCAAAAGGAGAAUGUUUAAUUGGAUGUACAAUUCUUUUGAUUUUAGAUAU